AAUGUUUUUCACACAUAAAGGGAUUGUAAAAUGUUUCAUUCAACCUUGUCCUUGAUGCAUGGCUUCAGUGUCUAAUGGAUCCCUUUGUUGUUGCUUCAUGUAACUUUCCACAUGUAUAGUUAGAUUUCUGCUGAAAGCAUCUUUCUGCCCCAAUUGUACAUUUCCAGUUCUCUUCAAAUACUUUAGACAAAUUAUUCAUGUAUAUGGUUCUGAAAGCAUGCACUAAGCAGGAGCCAGGAGGCAGGCUCAAUAAUUCAUAGUAUUGUGUCAAAGGCAACGUAAUAAAUUACAUGAUUCAAUCCUGUGUAACGGAUAGAAAGAGCUUGCAAUUUCUGUAAGUACUUUGCUGAGCUUGUUUUGAAACAAGUUGGAACUUUGAUCAAGCAUCUAUAAUGCUUUUUCUGUUGUCACUUUGUAUGUAAUCUACACAUUAUUGAUUGUCUAGAAAGGACCUGAAGGAGUGACAAUAUUACAUAUAUCAGUUAGUUUAUCUUGAAAGGGCAGAUAUGGUUGGAUUUUCAUGGGACAAUGGGACAAUAUUUUGUAGUGAACAAAUCUUUUUAGAGUGUGGAUUUGCAUGUAGGGAGUGGGCACAUUUGAUAUCUCCAUCUAGUUUAAGAUUUCAUCUAAAUGGUACCGAGUUAUGUACGACGUAAAUUUGACCGUGUUGCUAGCCAUUGGAAAUUAGAGCUAGUGGUUCAGUAACGCAGCCAUUUGAAAUUAGAGCUGGUGGUUCGGUUAUUCUCAAGGGUGUGCUGUGUCAUAUAAAUUGCUUUGACAAUUAUAAUUAUAAUGUUCGUGUUAAAUGCAGAUCAACUUCAUCCAUUGGCUGGUGCAGUUGGGAUAAUUUGAGCUCUUUCUUAUGACAUAAUGCUUCUUGAUGCACUUUAUUCUGUGAUUUGUCUUAGGUUCGCAGACUUAGGAUACAACAGAGAAUUAAAAGUGCUGAACUUUGAAUCCUUAAUGAAGAGCAAGAAAACGAACUUCCUGAUUUUCCAACUUUCAUCCCGCGUUUGCCUCCUUUGACCCCAGCGAAUCUUAAGAUGUACUAUGCAACUUGUUUCUCUCUUAUUGCUGGAAUCAUCAUCUUCGGAGGUCUUCUUGCUCCAACUAUGUUUAUAUCGAUGUCCCAGAUAUCAUAGAUAUUAGUCACAUGCGCAGCAAGGGUUUGCAGCAAGGGGAAGAGCUACUACCAGAAGUAGGUUGGUGAAUCAGGAUUUUACAAAAAGCAUCGAAAAUGCGCCAGCAAAUCUGGAUUUUUCAGAAUGCAAGCAGGUUUUCAAGUACAGAAAACACUGUAGAGUUUGUGACAAAUGUGUCGAUGGCUUCGAUCAUCAUUGCAGGUGGCUCAACAACUGUAUAGGAAGAAAAAACUACAGAUGGUUUUUCACACUCAUGGUUUCUGCCCUACUAUUGGUGUUCGUGGUUUGUGCACCUUGGUCUUGAGGUUGCUCCUUAUUCUACUGUGGUCCAUGGGCAUCCUUGUAUUGAUAUAAUGUUUCCUUGAGCGGAAGCAGUUUGCUGCAGAGAUCGUAUCGAAGCUGGGGAGAAGUUUCUCUUUGGUGCCCUUUGUUGUUGUUGUGGCUUCUUGCACCGUCUUGGCAAUGAUUGCUACUCUACCACUUGCCCUGCUCUUUUUCUUCCAUUUUCUUCUCAUAAAGAAGGUAGUAGAGAGCAAUUGCAAUUCUGCUGCUGUCCUGUAUUAUUCACUCAAAUCUCUGACUGCUUGUGGAUGGGGUUUGAAGGGCCUUCAGUAGUAAUCUUCUCCCCUUCUAGAUGCUUGCAGAGAGUAAUUUUACUAAUGGCAGUAAUCCCAAAAACCAUAAACUAUUUUCCUCGCAUAUAUGUGCAUGUGUAAAGAUUUCUUAAAAAAUGGUUACCUUUUGGCAGAUGAUUCCUGUCUCGAAGUUGUGUAUAGAAUGUAUUGGCUAUGUUAUCACAUUCACACAUACAGGAAAACCCAGACAUUGACUCUCUGCAGCGAAGUCAUGGAACUUCUACGGCCGGAUGUGCAGCAUCUCCUGUCCCACUUAAAGACUGAUCUGAAUUCCUCCACUUAUGCAGCAUCUCAUCCAAAGCUAGUCCAAAAUCCAACAUGACUGGCUCGCAUUUUAGGGCUCGUAGUACUUCAGCUUUUCAUACAUUCACUCACACCUUCCUGGACAUCUAGGUGAGCACAGAGUGAAAUGGCAUAAAUGGCUCUGUGGUGAUGUAAAAUUCCCACAACUAACUACAACAAUCAAACUAAAAUUACAGUUAUUGUGUAUUUUUUGUGGGCUUGUAUAGAGUUUGAGAACUUUCUUAGAAAAUUCCGUAGGGGAGAACUUUGCCUUAACUAGUGCAAGGCUGAAUGGGAAAGAAAUGAUUGCAGAAGGUCUCGCAAUGCAUUUUGUCCCGUCUGAGGUUUGCUUCUCUUUUCAUGUCAAGUAUGUUUUUAGAACCAUGAAUUCUUAAGAUGCAUUUACAUGUGGAGGCUAAAGAAAUUCGUGAGAGAUUGAAGAGGUGAUUUGUAUGCCAAGAUAGCACUCUUGUAUGAUGUAUGGGCCAAUUGUUUGGUGGG